rnacentral:misc_RNA from 1 species
UGGCGAGUUACGUAGAGAUC